CACUACCUAAGCCUCGUGUGAUCGUCCACGCCAAGUUCAGCAGCUGAGAGCAGCUGGACUAAACUUGAAGGGGAUUUAAAGAACGUUCUUUCCGUGAGAUGAUAAAGACAUUUCACUUGCACUAUGAAACUCUGAAAACCUUAAUGAUGUGGUGUCUCUGAGUUUUGAAUAAUGGGGGACGGACUGUUGGGCGGUUGGCGUGUCAGCGAGUCAGCCCCCCGUCUGUUGGUGCUCUGAUGUCAGAGAGGUGCUAUAGGUCUGAGCUCAGGUACACGUAUGUAAAGUAUGUAUGUUUUGUGUAUUUAUUCAUUAGUUACCACACAGUGCACUGUGCCAGACACUUGGGAUUUCACCUGUAGUCUUUGUUUAUUUUAUUUUAUAUAUUUUUUUUUUCUACUGUUAGCCAUUUGAUUUCAAUCAUGGGGAUAUUUUUAACGUGUUUCGAUGGACAGGAAGUAAGGGGAAAGGUCCAGCUUAACAAACGCCUGUCUCUGGAGAUCUGGGAAGUUGUAAAGACCCUAACGUGGCGUUCAAUGACCUGGAUUCAGAACAAAGGGAAAGACGUCUCCAAACAUCAGACAGGGAGACUUUCUUCUGCACUUCCUCCGUACAGUAUACAGCCACCUGUUGUAAGACAACGGCAUCACUGGUAAACCCUGUCGUAGGUCUUCCUCCGUACAGUAUACAGCCACCUGUUGUAAGACAACGGCAUCACUGGUAAACCCUGUCGUAGGUCUUCCUCCGUACAGUAUACAGCCACCUGUUGUAAGACAACGGCAUCACUGGUAAACCCUGUCGUAGGUCUUCCUCCGUACAGUAUACAGCCACCUGUUGUAAGACAACGGCAUCACUGGUAAACCCUGUCGUAGGUCUUCCUCCGUACAGUAUACAGCCAGCUGUUUCUCCCUCUGUGACCGUACUGUGUAUGUGUAUGCACUGAUGCUGAGAGACUGAGCCCUGAGGAACACCAAUAACAACCGUACACCAACCUUACAACAACCAUACAGCAACUAUACACAAACCUUACACCAACUUAUCACCAACCUUACAACAACCAUACACCAACCAUACACCAACCUUACAACAACCAUACACCAACUAUACACCAACUCAUCACCAAACAUACACCAACCUUGCAACAACCAUACACCAACUAUACACCAACCUUACACCAACUAUACACCAACCAUACACCAACCUUACACCAACUAUACACCAACCAUACACCAACCUUACACCAACUAUACACCAACCACACACCAACCUUACACCAACUAUACACCAACCAUACACCAACCUUACAACAACCAUACACCAACUAUACACCAACUCAUCACCAAACAUACACCAACCUUGCAACAACCAUACACCAACUAUACACCAACCUUACACCAACUUAUCACCAACCUUUCAACGACUACACACCAACUCAUCACCAACCAUACACCAACCAUACACUAACUUAUCACCAACCAUACACCAACUUAUCACCAACCAUACACCAAUCUUUCAACGACUACAGUGCCUUACAAAAGUAUUCAUCCCCCUUGGUGUUUUUCCUAUUUUGUUUCAUCACAACCUGUAAUUUAAAUAGAUUUUUAUUGGGAUUUCAUGUAAUGGACGUACACAAAAGAGUCCAAAUUUGUGAAGUGAAAUUAUAAAAAAUAAAAAAAAUGUAAGGUGGUGUGUAUUUACCCACUUUGCUAUGAAGCCUCUAAAUAAGAUCUGGUGCAACCAAUUACCUUCAGAAGUCACAUAAUUAGUUAAAUAAAGUCCACCUGUGUGCAA